AUUGAACGCUGGCGGCAUGCCUAACACAUGCAAGUCGAGCGGAUGAAGGGAGCUUGCUCCUGGAUUCAGCGUCGGACGGGUGAGUAAUGCCUAUGAAUCUGCCUGGUAGUGGGGGAUAACGUCCGGAAACGGGCGCUAAUACCGCAUACGUCCUGAUGGAGAAAGUUGGGGAUCUUCGGACCUCUCGCUAUCAGAUGAGUCUAGGUCGGAUUAGCUAGUUGGUGGGGUAAAGGCCUACCAAGGCGACGAUCCGUAACUGGUCUGACAGGAUGAUCAGUCACAGUGGAGCUGGGACAGGGACAAUGGUACUAAGGGAGGCAGCAGUGGGGAACAUUAGACAGUAGGCGAGAACAUGGUCCAACGGGGGCGAGUGUGUGAAGGAAAUCUUGGGAUUGUGAAGAAGUUUAUGUUGGGGGAAAGGGCAGUAAGUUAAUACCUUGCUGUUUUGACGUUAACAGGAGAAUAAGCACCGGCUAACUACGUG
rnacentral:rRNA from 1 species